rnacentral:tRNA from 1 species
GCAGUGGUGGUUCAGCGGUAGAAUUCUGACUCUCCGUGCAGAAGACCCAGGUUCGAUUCCCGGCCAAUGCA